ensembl:lncRNA
UUUUUUUUUUUUUUUUUUUUUUUUGUAUUUUUAGUAGAGAUGGGGUUUCACUGUGUUGGCCAGGAUGGUCUCAAUCUCCUGACCUCGUGAUCCACCCGUCUCAGCCUCCCAAAGUGCUGGGAUUACAGGCAUGAGCCACCGCGCCCGGCCUCCCUGAUUGUUGCUAAGUGGGUGCUUUAAAAACCUCAGUAAGAGCCUGGCACAGUGGCUCAUGCCUGUAAUCCCAGCAAUUUGGGAGACCAAGGUGGGUGGAUCACCUGAGGUCAGGAGUUCGAGACCAGCCUGGCUAAUAUAGUGAAACACCGUCUCUACUAAAAAUACAAAAAUUAGUUGGGCGUGGUGGCACACGCCUGUAAUGCCUGCUACUUGGGAGGCUGAGGCCGGAGAAUCACUUGAACCUGGGAGGCAAAGGUUGCAGUGAGCCAAGAUUGUGCCAUUGCACUCCAGCAUGAGCAACAAGAGCGAAACUCUGUAAAACAAACAAACAAACAAACAAAACCUCAGUAAGAGUGGAAGUGGUUUACAACUAUUGGUGCCAUGACAACAGAUAAAUCGGAAAAAGGGAACUUCAGGAACAAUGUGGUCGGGAUGGAGGUGUUGGAGGUUGUUUUUUCUUUUAAUUAACAAAAAAAACAGGAACACAUUUAGAAGUAAAUAGAGGGCCCAAUUUUCUCUUUUUGGUCUGAAAGGGGCUUCAAAAAAUUGUUUUCAAUGUUAAACAGAAUAGCAAUGGCAAUGAAGAUAGUAAGAAGCACAACCAUCUGUUUAGCAUGAUGUCCCCGUGGGGGCUGGGGGAGAGAUUUCCUCUAUUUACAGGGGAGACUGAGGCUCAGAAGGGUCAAGUGCCUGGCCCAGGCGCCUUGUCCUGUUAGAGGAGGGCACAGCUGAGGAGGACGGAGGCUGCAGAACCCCAGGGAGUCUCGGCUCUCCAGCCCAGGUGCAGCUGCCCCUUGGGCAGACAGCCUGGAACACAUCCGCUCAUUAGUGGCCUACCCAGGCAGCUGGCCGAGCGCCUGUCCCCGAAGGCCUUCCUGAGCUCAGAGGCUCCCCAGCCCUGGCACUGAGGGUGCAAUCCCAGAGCUGCUUUCCCAGGCUCGUUGCACAGGCAGGUGCAGCCCAGGUGUCUGACAACUUUGGCUCCAGCGUCAUGGACUCCACAUCUAAGACCUUGUGGGACACCCAGGAGUUUUGAGCUCAGCAGUGAGCUCGGAGCUUGAGCUUGGGUUGCAGAAUCCAAAAAUCAAUUAAUGUGGGGCUUCAGGGGACAUCUGUCUGACCGGUGGUUUCGUAAAAUCUUCAAUCACUGUGAGACAGAAGAUGUGUGCUGCAUGCUGUGGCUAGGGCAUGCGUGGCUGCAGCUGCCGCCAAAUAGGAAGGGCCCCCGCAGUGCCUCCAUCCUGCAGCCGUGACUUUCUUCCCAAGUGCAGUGGGGUGCAGGGGGGGGAGUGUCUUGGGUCAAGGGGCUCUCCAGGCAGCUCUGCCUCCUCCAUAGUCCUCCAGGCCCCCUUUACUUGAAGAAUAAGCAACUAGCCCUGUGGCAGUCAGUUCUAAGGGAGAGGGGCCUGAAGUGUCAGCAAGAGUCAGAGCCAGGCACCUGGCAGAGCUGUGAGGGGCAGAGGCAAUGGUGAUGGGAGCCAGUGAGACCAGAGCAUGUGUCAAAUCUCCCCUCUGAUCAUUUUGGAACAAGUGCAGUGAGCUGGAGUUGGAAGUGUUCCCAAAUUGCAAUCAUCUGGGGUCUUCGUCUGUCUCUUCUCCCGGUUAGUUUGGCAGCGGAUGUGAGGGAGGUGCUCUUCAUCAGUCACUGGGCUCAUGAAUGGUCCUCAUUUCCCGAAUCCUUCUGCAUCGUUCUCUGAAUUCGGCAGGGGCACGUCUCCCCGGGCUGAC